rnacentral:rRNA from 1 species
UUUGAAAUCUGGCCUUCGGGUCCGAGUUGUAAUUUGUAGAGGAUGCUUUUGGUGCGGUACCUUCCGAGUUCCUUGGAACAGGACGCCUUAGAGGGUGAGAGCCCCGUACGGUUGGAUAUCAAACCUCUGUAAAGCUCCUUCGACGAGUCGAGUAGUUUGGGAAUGCUGCUCUAAAUGGGAGGUAAAUUUCUUCUAAAGCUAAAUACCGGCCAGAGACCGAUAGCGCACAAGUAGAGUGAUCGAAAGAUGAAAAGUACUUUGAAAAGAGGGUUAAAUAGCACGUGAAAUUGUUGAAAGGGAAGCGUUUAUGACCAGACCUUUGCCUGGCGGAUCAUCCGGUGUUCUUCACCGGUGCACUUCGCCCGGCUUAGGCCAGCAUCGAUUUUCGUUAGGGGACAAAGACCGCGGGAACGUGGCUCCCUCCGGGGAGUGUUAUAGCCCGCGGUGUAAUACCCUUACGGGGAUCGAGGUUCGCGCUCUGCAAGGAUGCUGGCAUAAUGGUCAUCAACGACCCGUCUUGAAACACGGACCAAGGAGUCGAACAUUUAUGCGAGUGUUUGGGUGUUAAACCCUCACGCGUAAUGAAAGUGAACGGAGGUGAGAGCCCUUUCGGGUGCAUCAUCGACCGAUCCUGAUGUCUUCGGAUGGAUUUGAGUAAGAGCAUAACUGUUCGGACCC